rnacentral:rRNA from 1 species
UACGUAGGGGCCUAGCGUUGUCCGGAAUUAUUGGGCGUAAAGAGCUCGUAGGCGGUUCGGCAAGUCGGAUGUGAAAUCUCCACGCUUAACGUGGAGGGGCCAUUCGAAACUGCUGUGACUCGAGUCCGGUAGGGGAGGUGUGGAAUUCCCGGUGUAGCGGUGAAAUGCGCAGAUAUCAGGAGGAACACCGAUGGCGAAGGCAGGUCGUCUGGGCCACUACUGACGCUGAGAAGCGAAAGCAUGGGGAGCGAACAGGG